rnacentral:ncRNA from 1 species
AAGAUAGAGGCGCGAUCUUUAUGAUAAACGCGGAAAGGGUUUAAUUCUGCGCGGUAAAGGAAAGGUCGCCGAAGAGUGCAAGCCUCCCGAAGCUUGCAUGUCUGGGUGCAAGGAGAAUAUCUUUGCAACUGUCGCGAGAAAGGUUCGCCUUCCGCGUUGAGCUAUUG